rnacentral:lncRNA from 1 species
AUGGCCAGUCCAUGCAGUGCUCCUGGCAGCGGUCGGCGGAUCUCAGUGCUGCCCCACCGCUUGGAUGGGGAAAUGGAGGCCGCCCACAGGAAGUGGCCUGGCGGGCCAGGGCCAGGGCCAAGACCACACCCAGCGAUCCCCAGGCCAGGGACCCUCCCCAGCCCAGCAGGUCUUCCCUACCUUGGCUCCACUGGACACAAUCUUCGAAAGCGUCAGGCCAGUGAACGGUCUGAUUUUGCCAGAGGCCCGGGACCCGGACCCAGGCAGGCCUCCGUUCCUCCGUUCCUGGGGUGGAGCUCAGGCAGGUGCUGGGCACGGCUCUACAGAGGCGCAGCCACCGCCCAGGCUCCUGGUGUCAGGGUCCUGGGGCUGCCACAACAAAUUGCCACAAAACUGAAGCGCUUGGGACUCACAGGUGGCUCAGCGGUGGAGCAUCUGCCUUCAGCUCAGGACGUGACCCCGGGGUCCUGGGAUCGAGUCCCGCAUCGGGCUCCCCGCAGGAGGCCUGCUUCUCCCUCUGCCUGUGUCUCUGCCUCUCUCUCUGUGGGUGUCUCAUCAAUCAAUAAAUAAAAUCUUUUAAAAAAAAUUGAGGUGCUUAAAACAAUAGAAGUUCUUUCUCUUACACACAAGAGGCCAGAAGCCCAGAAUCAAGGUGUGGGCAGGGCUGUGCUCCACCCGAGGCUCUAGGGGUGGAUCCUUCCUGCCCCUUCCAGCUCUUGGUGGCUCGGGCGCUCCUGGGCCUGCACCCGAGUCACCCCCAUGUCUGCUCUGUCUUCAAACAGCCUCCCCACUGCAUCUCUGCCUCUUACAAGGACACUGGCCAAGGGAUUUAGGCCCCACCACGUAACCCAGCGUGCAAACACCCUUUUUCCAGAUAAAGUCUUGUUCACAGGUUCUGGGGUUUAGGAUUGGGACACUCAACCCACCGCAGUGCCCAAACCAGUGUGGGCAGGGCUGGCCUCAACCCAGGAACCCGGCCCAGCCCCCAGACUCGUGCUCCUUCCCCAGGGGGCCCCGCCUGGCUUGAGAUGUGGGGCCCCUGUCCUGAGAGGCCUGUUUCCCCAUCCAUGUUUCUCGUCGAAACAUCAGCCCCUUCGCCAGCCUAGACCUGGGACCGAGCUGGCACAGAAGGCCUGCUUAGGGGAUCCUCCUUCUCGCUGGUCCCUGCUUGUCGCAGGCCUUGCUCACACAACGCCUCUUCCUGGAAGCCCUCUAAGGUCCCUGGUGGGGUGGACUCCCUUUCUCUAGCCCGAACCCCUCCAGGCUGUGGCCCUCCCUUGGCGUUGCAUGCCCUGCAGGCAGGAGUGGGUCUGGUCCCUGAGCCCCUGGCCCCGGGGAGAUGCCCAAGAGGACGCCAAAGGAGUGAG